UACGAAGGGGACUAGCGUUGUUCGGAAUUACUGGGCGUAAAGCGCGCGUAGGCGGAUCGCUAAGUCAGGGGUGAAAGCCCGAGGCUCAACCUCGGAACUGCCUUCGAUACUGCGGGUCUCGAGUCCGGGAGAGGUGAGUGGAAUUCCUAGUGUAGAGGUGAAAUUCGUAGAUAUUAGGAAGAACACCAGUGGCGAAGGCGGCUCACUGGCCCGGUACUGACGCUGAGGCGCGAAAGCGUGGGGAGCAAACAGGG
rnacentral:rRNA from 1 species